AUGGUGGCCGCAAUCUUCGGUCCCAGAAGUGCCAACCUGAAUCAGAGUGUGGUGACCAAGCAGAAGGCCGUAUACACCCUGGUGGAGCAACUCUACACCGGGUCACAACGUGCCCUGGCUGUGGUGGCCCUCUCCAACGAGGUGCCGACUCACCUAGCAGAAGUCCUUCGCCGGCUCGCCGUUCUGCCUCAACGGAUCCAAGAGCUGCGACGGGCCUCUGCAAGAGCCGGAGCGAUCGCUGCGCUGAGCCGGGCCAAGGCGUUCUUGCCAGAGUUAGCCCCGGCGGACAUCGCCCUCGGCUACCCAAGUCUGAAGGAAGACGGCACCGCCUUUGAUCAGAAGGACUUCGCAGCUUGCGUGAAGGCCGUACGCCCGGUGGCCACUCUUAUUGGCAACGAUACAGAUCUAACCAAGUAUCAGCCGGGCUACGACGCAGAAAAUCAGAGGAUCCCUACUCCACGCUAUGAAGCCCUCAACUUGAUCCCGCCGGCUCGUCAGCACACUUUCGCCCCGGAGAUUGACCCGGCCGGGUUAAUUGACGAGGAAGCCCAAUUCGAAGCUCUCAGCGGCAUCGACUGGAAGUCAUGA
rnacentral:rRNA from 1 species